rnacentral:rRNA from 1 species
ACUCCUACGGGAGGCAGCAGUGGGGAAUUUUGGACAAUGGGGGCAACCCUGAUCCAGCCAUGCCGCGUGAGUGAAGAAGGCCUUCGGGUUGUAAAGCUCUUUCGGCCGGGAAGAAAUCGCAUGGGCCAAUACCCUGUGUGGAUGACGGUACCGGAAUAAGAAGCACCGGCUAACUACGUGCCAGCAGCCGCGGUAAU